GACGUAGGGCGCAAGCGUUUGUCCGGAAUUAUUGGGCGUAAAGAGCUCGUAGGCGGCUUGUCACGUCGGGUGUGAAAGCCCGGGGCUUAACCCCGGGUCUGCAUUCGAUACGGGCUAGCUAGAGUGUGGUAGGGGAGAUCGGAAUUCCUGGUGUAGCGGUGAAAUGCGCAGAUAUCAGGAGGAACACCGGUGGCGAAGGCGGAUCUCUGGGCCAUUACUGACGCUGAGGAGCGAAAGCGUGGGGAGCGAACAGG
rnacentral:rRNA from 1 species